AGGCAUGAUGAAAUCGGCGGAAAUAAGUACCACUACCGUCCGUCUAACACUACAGCGACCCCCGUCUAAGCUUCUUCUAUUACGCCAAGAAACUUUGAAUUAAUGGUAACAGUUGGUUUUAUUCCAGGCCCUGUGUUAAAAAGUCUGCAGCAUAUUUAUUAGGGCAGAAUUAUUAAGAAUGGUGGCCUUACAUCGUCCUCCUCAACAAUAUAAGACCGACGACAUAGCCCAUCAGCAUGGACAUUUAGUCUUGCGGUUACCAGUAAGGCACUGCGAGUUAAACCAAAUAGAGAUAAUUCAAGCACAAGAAAAGACCUAUGUCGCCCGAAGAAACACCAAUUUUAAAAUCAAAGACGUUAAGCGUCUGUUUCUGGAGGCCAAGGCUAGUGUGACAACUGGAGACUGGGCUAAGGCGUGUCCACACAUCAUAGACAAGGUGGGGGAUCGAUUUUGGGAAACGGGGAGAUUGAAUGCGGAAGUACCACCAGUCGUGAUUUUGUUCGGGAGUGACAGCGAGUAUGAGUGUGAGAGUGAGGAUUUUGGCGACAAUGUCAGUGGAGAGAGUGAUAGUGAAAAUGUUGCUGGAUGUCGGUGGUGUUGCGAAUGAAGAUUCGAGUUAUGAUGAUAUAAACGUGUGUAGUGUAUGUGAUUGUGAGAACCCACCGGGAUGUGAAUCGGGUGCGAUUGUGGAUUGGGUUGGGCUGUGAUUUGUGUGAAAGGUGGAUGCAUGUGAAAGUACUGGGAAAGAGAUUGAUGUAAGCGCAAGUGUGGUGAAGUGUGUAGAUUGUGUGCGCAAAUUGUAUGAUAGAUAGCGUAAAUGUAGUCCAGACAACUUCUGUAAUAUAUAUUGUAUAUAGU